rnacentral:rRNA from 1 species
AUGAACGCUGGCGGCGUGCUUAACACAUGCAAGUCGAGCGGAAAGGCUCCUGCUUGCAGGGGUACUCGAGUGGCGAACGGGUGAGUAACACGUGGGUGAUCUGCCCUGCACUUCGGGAUAAGCCUGGGAAACUGGGUCUAAUACCGGAUAGGACGAUGGUUUGGAUGCCAUUGUGGAAAGUUUUUUCGGUGUGGGAUGAGCUCGCGGCCUAUCAGCUUGUUGGUGGGUAAUGGCCUACCAAGGCGUCGACGGGUAGCCGGCCUGAGAGGGUGUACGGCCACAUUGGGACUGAGAUACGGCCCAGACUCCUACGGGAGGCAGCAGUGGGGAAUAUUGCACAAUGGGCGCAAGCCUGAUGCAGCGACGCCGCGUGGGGGAUGACGGCCUUCGGGUUGUAAACUCCUUUCGCUAGGGACGAAGCGCAAGUGACGGUACCUGGAGAAGAAGCACCGGCUAACUACGUG